CACGUAGGGGGGCAAGCGUUGUCCGGAUUUAUUUGGGCGGUAAAGAAGCUCGUAGGCUGUUCGAUAAGUCGGGGUGUGAAACCUCCAAGGCCGUCAAACCCGUGGAGACGCCCAUCCCGAUAUGUCAUGACUAGAGUCCGGUAGGGGAGCGUGGAAUUCCUGGUGUAGCGGUGAAAUGCGCAGAUAUCAGGAGGAACACCAGCGGCGAAGGCGGCGCUCUGGGCCGGUACUGACGUGGAGGAGCGAAAGCAUGGGGAGCGAACAGG
rnacentral:rRNA from 1 species